AAUAAAACCCAAAAAUGAAAAGAAAAAGAAAUUCUCACUUUGGAGGCAAGGAAUCGUUUGCGUACAUUUUCCAACGGCAUCUAUUCGUCAUCUGUUCUCUCAGAGGAACACAAACCUCAUCUCCAACUCAAAAUCCCCCCUUCUUUCUAUCACACGAUCACUUGAAUUUCACUCCAUUGGUGACGCUAAUGUCGGGCUCCAGAAUCCAACCAGCAGCUUCUGUUCUUUCCUCUUCCAUCAAGCGCCAUAUGGGUUUUAGUUUCUACCUUCCUUCCAAUUCCUCGCUUUCUCCUUUUCACCAUUCUUCAUUCUCCUUCAGGCGCUCUGGACCUGCACGAUCUCUCUCUGUUUCCAUGUCUGUUGCCCCUCUUGAAGCCUGCGUCAAAGCUUCCACUACUCUACCCAACAAGCUCGGCGACUCCCCUACGUUGAUUGAUCUGAAGGUCAUAAGAGAGGAUGUUACGAAGGAUGAAUUCUUGAAGGAGGUCAUUAGUAAGUUGCAGAGAGGAGAAGAAGUGAAAAAUUAUACUUGGCAACAUGAGAUGCUCCGGUACAAGGGAAGAAUAGUGAUUGCGAAAAACUCUUCUUUAAUUCCUACUAUUAUGCACACGUACCAUGAUUCUGUGCUUGGGGGACAUUCUGGGUUCUUAAGAACGUAUAAGAGGCUAACAGGAGAACUAUUUUGGGUUGGCAUGAAGUCUGAAAUACAAAAGUAUUAUGAAGAGUGUACCACGUGUCAACGAAAUAAAACGUUGGCACUCUCACCUGCUGGGUUAGUAACUCCAUUGGAGAUACCAAGUAUAGUAUGGGAAGACAUCUCUAUGGACUUCAUUGAGGGAUUACCCAAAUCCUUUGGAUAUGAGGUUAUUUUUGUGGUGGUGGAUCAUUUUAGUAAGUAUGCUCAUUUCCUAGGCCUCAAGUACCCCUUUGAUGCCAAGAUUGUAGCAAAGUUGUUUGUGAAAGAAGUUGUAAGAUUGCAUGGCUUCCCACAAUCAAUAGUUUCUGACUGUGAUAAGAUUUUUCUGAGUAAUUUUUGGAAGGAACUGUUUUGUUUGGCAGACACAAAAUUGAACAGGAGCACUGCUUAUCAUCCUCAAACGGAUGGUCAGACAGAGGUUGUUAACAGGUCAGUAGAGAUUUACUUACGCUGCUUUUGUGGGGAAAAACUGAGGGAGUAGAUGAAAUGGAUUCCCUGGGCGGAAUACUGGUAUAAUACUAAAUACUACAUACCAACGUUCCUUAGGGGUGUCUCCUUUUCAAGCGGUAUAUGGACGCACACCCCCAGCUAUGAUAUAUUAUGGAGACCAGGGAACUUCAAUUUCCACACUGGAUGAGCAGCUCAAAGAAAGAGAUAUACCCCUGGGUGCUUUGAAAGAGCAUUUACGCAUAGCACAAGAUAAGAUGAAGAGUUAUGCUGAUAUGAAAAGAAGACAUGUAGAAUUUGAGGAAGGAGACAUGGUGUUCUUAAAAAUCAGACCCUACAGGCAGGUUUCUAUGUGUAAGAAGAGCAUUUAUGCAUAGCACAAGAUAAGAUGAAGAGUUAUGCUGAAAUGAAAAGAAGACAUGUAGAAUUUGAGGAAGGAGACAUGGUGUUCUUAAAAAUCAGACCCUACAGGCAGGUUUCUAUGUGUAAGAAGAGGAAUGAGAAGCUGUCACCUAAAUAUUUUGGCUCUUAUCGAGUCUUGAAGAAAAUUGGCCCUGUUGCGUAUAGGAUGGAAUUACCUACUGCAGCAACUAAUAUUUCACAGUUGAAGAAAGCCUUCGGGGAGUGCGCUAAUAAAGAGGAAUUAGUGCCUUUCUUGACUGAAAAUCACGAGUGGCUAGCUGUACCUGAUGAGGUCUACGGAUACCAAAAGAAUGGGAAAGGAGUUUGGGAAGUUUUGAUGAGCUGGAAAGGACUUCCGAGGCAUGAGGCAACUUGGGAGAAUUAUGAUGACUUCCAAUAGUCCUUCCCUAAUUCCCACCUCGAGGACAAGGUGAAACUAGAUCGGGAAUGCAAUGUUAGACCACCCAUAAUACACCAGUACAGUAGAAGAAAGAAUAUUAAAGAAAAGAGGAAGGAGAAGGAGUUAGUUGAGAAUGUAACGGCAUGGGGGGACCACAAUGAGUGGAACGGUUUAAGGGGGGGGACCGCAUUGAGUGGGAAGGGAAGAUCAAUAGAAAAUGGAAGAGAGGAAGGGGUGGCUUUUUGAUGAAGUAAUUUUCUGUGUAUUCUUGAAAGAGAGAGUAACAGAGAGAGAGGAGAGUUCAAUCAAAUUGGGCACUCUAUCCAAUUCGAUUUCGUUUAUAUUGUAAUUUCCUAUUUCUAUCAAUGUAGUAAUAUCUCAGUUUCUAUUAUCUUGUGUUGGAAAUUCUGUAUUCCAUCAUAUCACUAGAUGGGUCUAUGAGAGGUUUCCAGUUGGCAGAAGAACAAGAGGGAUGAGACAGUUUAAUGCUUUUAUAGAUUCUGCCAAUCUAAUGGAAACUCCCCUUCAAAAUGGCAAAUUUACUUGGUCAAGAGAGGGUGGCACUGCUGCAAACCUCUGUUGGACAGAUUUUUUAUUAACAGUAAAUGGGAUGAUGAUUUUGAAAACUCAAGAGUGACCCGUAAAGCAAGAACCUUCUCCAAUCACUUUCCUUUAUUAUUAGAGGCAGGUGCAAUACUAUGGGGGCCAUCCCCAUUCAGAUUUUGCAAUAGUUGGUUGUUAAUAAAAGAGUGCAACAAGGUUAUUGAGGAAGUCUUGAAAAUCCCCCAGGCAUUGGGUGGGCUGGUUUCAUUCUUCAUGAGCAGCUUCGUAAAGUGAAACUUGUUGUUAAAAAUUGGCAUGCUACUCAUUUGAUUGAUAUAAAGCAGAAAGAGGAAAGGCUUUUGAGAGAGUUAGAAAUCAUUGAUGAGCUUGCAGAAAAUGUUGGUCUGAAUGAAGUAGAAUUGGCUCACAGAUCAGCUAUACAAACAGAGUUGCUUUGUAUUUACAGAACCGAAGAAAGAAAUUUUAUACAGAAAAGUAAACUAAAUUGGCUUGCCGUAGGAGAUGAAAAUACGGGCUUUUUUCACAGAUUCCUUAAUGCAAAAAAAUGAAAAAACCUAAUCACAGAAUUGGUGGAUGAGCAAGGGGUGAUAACAAAGUCUUUUUGCAACAUUGAAAGGGUGAUAUUUGGGUUCUAUGAAGACCUGUAUAAAAAAAUUCCAGGAGUCAGAUAACUUCCUUUUAUGGCAGAUUGGCCUUGUGUCUUUAUUUCUCAAAAAUUUUCACUAGUCAACAGCUUCUCUGAGAUGGAGAUUAUUUGGAUACCGUAGACAAGAACAGACAGAUUUGCCCUUACUGCCAUUUAUUUGGAUACCGUAGACAAAUGUUACAAACUUCAUGGCUUUCCCCCAAGCUACAAACCAAAGAACAGGACAAACAACCAAGUGCAGAAAGCUCCAUCAAAUAAUCCACCUGCCAAUACUAAUGCUGCAAAAAUUAACCAAAUAUCACCUAGAUCAAGUACCCUGUUGGACAACGAGACACUCUCUCAAUGCCCCAACAUACUUUCCAUGCUUCAGUCAAAAUUAGCUGUUGUCAAGAUUGAUCAUGAUGCCAUUGCUCAUACUGCAGGCAAGAUUCACUUUGAAGAAGAUUGGAAGGGGUAAACUACAUGAUGGACUAUAUAUCAUUGAGCAUCCCUAACAAGUUGUUGAUCCUUUACAUUCCUCAGCUUCUAUUAAUCCAGUAUCUCAUGCAACUUUUGAUGUUGAGCACAAGACUUGGAUACCUUUCUAUCUCCCGCUUGUUUGCCCUAAAAGAUGUGUUGUUUCUUGAUUCUUCUAUGUUAAAUAAGACUUAUUCUUGUGAAAUCUGUCCAUUUGCAAAACAGAAAAAAUUGAUGAUCCUAUUUCAAGUCACUCACAUUCUGGUUACAAAUA